rnacentral:rRNA from 1 species
UACGUAGGGAGCAAGCGUUGUCCGGAAUCAUUGGGCGUAAAGCGCGCGUAGGUGGCUUCGUAAGUCCGUUGUGAAAGUCAAAGGCUCAACCUUUGAAAGCCGAUGGAUACUGUGAAGCUAGAGUACGGAAGAGGCGAGUGGAAUUCCUGGUGUAGCGGUGGAAUGCGCAGAUAUCAGGAGGAACACCAAUUGCGAAGGCAGCUCGCUGGGACGUUACUGACACUGAGGGACGAAAGCUAGGGGAGCGAAUGGG